AACGACGUUAGCGGCGCGCUUAACACAUGCAAGUCGAACGAGAAAGGGCUUCGGCCCCGGUACAGUGGCGCACGGGUGAGUAACACGUAGGUAACCUGCCCUUGAGUGGUGGAUAACAUUCCGAAAGGAGUGCUAAUACAGCAUAAGACCACGGUUCCAUCAAGGAACAGGGGUCAAAGCGGGCCUCUUCAUGAAAGCUCGCGCUUGGGGAUGGGCCUGCGGCGCAUCAGCUAGUUGGUGAGGUAAUGGCUCACCAAGGCGACGACGGGUAGCCGGCCUGAGAGGGUGACCGGCCACACUGGGACUGAGACACGGCCCAGACUCCUACGGGGGGCAGCAGUGGGGGAUCUUGCACAAUGGGCGAAAGCCUGAUGCAGCGACGCCGCGUGGGUGAUGAAGGCCCUCGGGUUGUAAAGCCCUGUGGGGAGGGAUGAAUAAGGUAUGGCUAAUACCUAUACUGAUGACAGUACCUCCUUAGCAAGCACCGGCUAACUCUGUG
rnacentral:rRNA from 1 species